CUGUGACUAUCCCAGGUCGUUUAGAACACAUGUCCCUGGAACUGUGACUAUCCCAGGUCGUUUAGAACACAUGUCCCUGGAACUGUGACUAUCCCAGGUCGUUUAGAACACAUGUCCCUGGAACUGUGACUAUCCCAGGUCGUUUAGAACACAUGUCCCUGGAACUGUGACUAUCCCAGGUCGUUUAGAACACAUGUCCCUGGAACUGUGACUAUCCCAGGUCGUUUAGAACACAUGUCCCUGGAACUGUGACUAUCCCAGGUCGUUUAGAACACAUGUCCCUGGAACUGUGACUAUCCCAGGUCGUUUAGAACACAUGUCCCUGGAACUGUGACUAUCCCAGGUCGUUUAGAACACAUGUCCCUGGAACUGUGACCCCCCCCCCCAUUUUUAGGGGAACAAAAGUAUUUGGACAAAUUCACUUAUGUGUAUUAAAGUAAUCCAAAGUUGA